rnacentral:rRNA from 1 species
AUUCCGGAGAGGGAGCCUGAGAAACGGCUACCACAUCCAAGGAAGGCAGCAGGCGCGCAAAUUACCCAAUCCUGACACAGGGAGGUAGUGACAAUAUAUAACGAUACAGGGCCUUUGGUCUUGUAAUUGGAAUGAGUACAAUGUAAAUACCUUAACGAGGAACAAUUGGAGGGCAAGUCUGGUGCCAGCAGCCGCGGUAAUUCCAGCUCCAAUAGCGUAUAUUAAAGUUGUUGCAGUUAAAAAGCUCGUAGUUGAACUUUGGGCCUGGGCGGACGGUCUACCUAUGGUAAGCACUGUUGCGGCCGGGUCUUUCCUUCUGGCUAGCCCUCGGGCGAACCAGGACGAUUACUUUGAGGAAAUUAGAGUGUUCAAAGCAGGCCUUUGCUCGGAUAUAUUAGCAUGGAAUAAUAGAAUAGGACGCAUGGUUCUAUUUUGUUGGUUUCUAGGACCAUCGUAAUGAUUAAUAGGGACGGUCGGGGGCAUCAGUAUUCAGUCGUCAGAGGUGAAAUUCUUGGAUUGACUGAAGACUAACUACUGCGAAAGCAUUUGCCAAGGACGUUUUCAUUAAUCAAGAACGAAAGUUAGGGGAUCGAAGAUGAUCAGAUACCGUCGUAGUCUUAACCAUAAACUAUGCCGACUAGGGAUCGGGUGGUGCUACUUUGCCCACUCGGCACCUUACGAGAAAUCAAAGUUUUUGGGUUCUGGGGGGAGUAUGGUCGCAAGGCUGAAACUUAAAGGAAUUGACGGAAGGGCACCACCAGGAGUGGAGCCUGCGGCUUAAUUUGACUCAACACGGGGAAACUCACCAGGUCCAGACGUAAUAAGGAUUGACAAGUUAGAGACUUCUCUUGAUCUUACGGGUGGUGGUGCAUGGCCGUUUUUAGUCCUUGGAGUGAUUUGUCUGCUUAAUUGCGAUAACGGACGAGACCUUAACCUGCUAAAUAGGGCUGCGAGCAUCUGCUCGGGUGCUCUUCUUAGAGGGACUAUGGGUAUCAAACCCAUGGAAGUUUGAGGCAACAACAGGUCUGUGAUGCCCUUAGACGUUCUGGGCCGCACGCGCGCUACACUGACGGAGCCAGCAAGUCCAACCUUGGUCGAGAGGCCCGGGUAAUCUCGUGAAACUCCGUCGUGCUGGGGAUAGAGCAUUGUAAUUUUUGCUCUUCAACGAGGAAUUCCUAGUAAGCGCAAGUCAUCAGCUUGCGUUGAUUACGUCCCUGCCCUUUGUACACACCGCCCGUCGCUACUACCGAUUGAAUGGCUUAGUGAGGCUUCAAGAUUGGCGCCGCGGGAGGGGCAACUUUCCCAUGGGGCCGAGAAUCUAGUCAAACUUGGUCAUUUAGAGGUCGUAAAAGUCGUAACAAGUUUCCGUAUUUUUUUUNNNNNNNN